rnacentral:lncRNA from 10 species
UGAUGCUUAUUGAGCGCUUCCCAUGCACCAGGUCCUGUUCCAAGGGUGUGACAUAGUCUAACUAGUUUAGUCCUCACCACAACCUUAUGGGAUACGUGUGAGAUUUUUCUUCCAACACCAGGUGUAUGGUAUGUUCCAACCACCAGCAGGCAGUGCUCCAAUUCUCCAGCAUCACUGAGUAUAUUCAACAGUUCAAUACUGACACUAAUUCCCAGAGCUAGCACAGACCCUACAAGUUAAGGGCUCUGUCCCACAAGACAGUGCCACAGCAGACUCAAGUUCCAGGAGCCACCUGUGCUUCUGAAUGGACUGGCCUAAAACCGGGGGCUCCCACAUCGCCCUCUGCAGGUUUGACAAUUCACUAGAAUGACGCACACAACUCAGGAAACACCUCCCCUACACUUGCUGGUUUAUUAUAAAUGACACGAGUGAGGAAGAGCCAGAUGGAAGAGACACAAAGGGCAAGAACCAGCCCCAGUCCUGAAACUACCUAGAGAUCCACCCUGAAUCACCUCAUUAGCAUACAACACACCUGGCAAUGCCUGGCUUGCAUCAAAUGCUUGAUAUUUCUGUGUUGCCUGAAUGAAUGACCAGAGUACCAGGGUCCAAGUAGGACAUAAGAGGAUGUGGCUGCAGAGGAAAGGAAGAUGAGAAGCUGGCUCAGGACUCCCCUCCUGCAGCUGGGCUGGAGGACGUUCUCAGGGCCAGGAGCCCAGGAGCCAGGUGGAGAACAAACUGCCAAGUCCCAAUAUCCCCCCGGGAUGCCCACCUAGCUUGGGUAAGAGCUGCUCCAGCCCUUCAGCAUUGUCC